ACAGUCAUCCUGCGCAUGACAUAAAGCCCAACUCCUCCUGGCCCUUACAGUUUGGCUCAGCACCAGAGAACCUCUGUCCCAUCCAAGACAAAGGCACCACUUGCAUGACAGGGCCACAUCUCCUAGGAAAAUAUCUCCUCAUGGAAGACACUGGUCUGGCCUCCUGCAGUGCCACGCUCCGUGUAUUUGACAAGCUGAGUUGGACACUCCGUGUGGUAGAGUGUCAGUUUGUCAAAUACCCCAAGUGCGGCAUAUGCCUAGCAGCUCCAGGCCAGGGAAGAUGGAGUACAAUGAGUAAAUUACCUACAAGGACCCAAGAAUGUUCGUCAAACACCAAGAUCUUACACACUAUUUUCUGUGACAUUUUGGGAACUGAAGCAUUGUGUCUGAGAGUGCCAGAGGGAAAAUGAGGCAGCUUUGGGAGCUCCAUCUCUGAGCUCCGUAUACCAACAUCUUAAGAAUGUUAAAGGAACCCAGUAGUCUUGAAAAGUUAUAAGGUACCCAGGAACAGAAGUGAUCGUUUUUCAUUAUUAUUUUCUUUCUUUACCUUCCCCUACUGAAAUUUCCCAGCCAUAACACCAUGAUCUUCCUACAGAAGCUUCACAGCUUAUUUGAGAAACCAGAGCUUAGUAAUCUACUUUCAGACAGUCUUGACUGCUAAAUUCUCCUUGAGCUUUCCUAUUUCUCCUCAUUUCCUCAGGCUUUUUUUCUUUCUAGGAGUAUCUUCUUUAUUUCUUUCUAUCAAAUUCUUCCCCUUAUUUCUUGGCCCAAAGUUCAAUCCCUCAGGGACUUACAAAAGUAAACCUACACGUUUUUUUUCUUCAUUUGCAAAGCUCUUCUUGCCUGGGUCCUGGCAUUGCAUUACCUCCUACUGUGGAAUAACACCUCUUGAAUCCUUGGCAAAAUUUCCAGGGGGAUAUUUUUGAAAUUCCUAUUAGAGUGAACUGUUAGAAGACCAGAUUGUGUUUUCUUGAUUGUGGUUUCAUUUCAUAGCCAAUUAGUGUGGUUACAGAAAAUACUGAAUAAAUGUUUACUGAUUGAUUUUUCUAUUAGUCUAUUAGGUCAAAUGCCAUCCCGAAUUUUGUAAAAAUACAAAAAGCCAAGCCAUGAACACUACAAUAAUCAAGAGUGUGUGAGGUAGCAGGCGACAUGGUGGGUUUCUUCUUUCUGCUAAAUAAAGCAAUGAAGGAGGAAGGAGCAAACUAAUUGAUUUGGUGGAAAAGUAAGUUUUAGAAUUAUAUAGUUCCCCAAAGUUACACAGGUACUUUAUUACAGAAUUUUCUGAGAGCUUUUAACAUUCUAUUGUGCUGAGAAUCUCCAAGAGUGAACUAUAACAUAAAUCAUUUGCCACGUUUAACUGAUGCUGCGAUAUUUUUUCCAUGGGCUAUCUCCUGGGUCCAAUGUUCCAUAUAAACAUUUAGAAAAUAUCCCUUGAAUACUUUAAUACCUUCCUUCUUCCAGAAAUCCUUUUUCUUUUUUUAUUCCUUUGUUUGUCCUGGGCUAGCCACCCUGCUAAGGGAGGUUCUUUGUUACCACUCAAAUCUGUUUGUCAUUCCUGCAAUGUGUGGCCUCAUUUAUACACAAGUAUGUCUUAUUGAAUUGGUUUGUAUGGAAUAUUUCCUCAGUUUGGGAGCAAAAACUAUUUUCAUAAGGUUUAUGCAGCAGUGAAUAUAUUUUAGGACUUCACAGGUCUCAUUCUUGUUCUCUGUUCAGUCACUGACUUGAAGUAUGUGACUUUAGUCAAGUUACUAUUCCUCUCUGGGCUUCAUAUCCUCAUUUGUAAGUGGGGGAGUGUUAGAAUUAGUUAUCUCUAAGCUACUUAAGAUGAAAGCUUCUGAGAUAUCUCUGGAGAUCCACAUGUUUUGUGGAGUAUAGGUUAUUGAAUAUAUGGUUGCUUUUUACCAGUGGAAACAGAACUAUAAUUCUCUCUGUGGGUUGUGAAUACAAAGCUGUUUCAUGAAGGAAGGUGAGGUUUUUGCUGGGGCAGGGACUGUCUUUCAGAGGUUCGUAAGAACAGUGCGGGAAGGAGUUGCUGCUUUCAUCAACUAUUUGGUGUCUGUGAUGAGAAAAAACACUGAAGUUUUGACGGUGGGCUUGGAAGAUUGAGUGGUGGUAAAAUAUAACUCUUCCUUGUUAACUUUUAUUUACUACUUUUAAUUUUGUAA